rnacentral:rRNA from 1 species
GAUGAACGCUGGCGGCGUGCCUAAUACAUGCAAGUAGAACGCUGAAGGAAGGAGCUUGCUCUUUCCGGAUGAGUUGCGAACGGGUGAGUAACGCGUAGGUAACCUGCCUGGUAGCGGGGGAUAACUAUUGGAAACGAUAGCUAAUACCGCAUAACAGUAGAUGUUGCAUGAUAUCUACUUAAAAGGUGCAAUUGCACCACUACCAGAUGGACCUGCGUUGUAUUAGCUAGUUGGUGAGGUAACGGCUCACCAAGGCGACGAUACAUAGCCGACCUGGGAGGGUGAUCGGCCACACUGGGACUGAGACACGGCCCAGACUCCUACGGGAGGCAGCAGUAGGGAAUCUUCGGCAAUGGACGGAAGUCUGACCCAGCAACGACGCGUGAGUGAAGAAGGUUUUCGGAUCGUAAAGCUCUGUUGUAAGAGAAGAACGAGUGUGAGAGUGGAAAGUUCACACUGUGACGGUAUCUUACCAGAAAGGGACGGCUAACUACGUG